rnacentral:tRNA from 1 species
GCAGUCGUAGAUCAAUUGGUUAGAUCGUUCCCCUGUCACGGGAGAGGUUGCGGGUUCGAGCCCCGUCGACUGCG